ACGGGUGAGUAACACGUAUCCAACCUGCCGUCUACUCUUGGCCAGCCUUCUGAAAGGAAGAUUAAUCCAGGAUGGCAUCAUGAGUUCACAUGUCCGCAUGAUUAAAGGUAUUUUCCGGUAGACGAUGGGGAUGCGUUCCAUUAGAUAGUAGGCGGGGUAACGGCCCACCUAGUCUACGAUGGAUAGGGGUUCUGAGAGGAAGGUCCCCCACAUUGGAACUGAGACACGGUCCAA
rnacentral:rRNA from 1 species